AGGUGACAACAAAUAUGAACUUGUGUAUUUAACACAAAAGCAUGCAGUCUUUACCAGUAAGAAUGUGGAUAGAGCCGGCACAGAAACAAACUUGAUUUUUGUUCUUGGAAAGGAUGUGCCUUUAAAUGAAGAAGAACAUGAAAAACUUAUGAAAUUUGCUGAGAAACAGAACAUUCCAGCAGAAAACAUUCAAGAUGUUCAGGCUACAGAUACUUGUCCCAAGUAAAGACCUUCUGUAGAGGACAACCGGAUGACAAUUAUGGUCAUAUCCUCUUGACCACGGAAUCAGUAUCACAUAUAAAUCACCAUUUCUUUCUGAAUGAAUUGUCCCCUCUCCUGUGAAGUCAGCAUAAUACAUAUCGAAUUCCUGACUUAUCUCUCCUUUCCAUUCUCAUGAUCUAUGAGCUGUUCCUACUUUUCUGAAUGAUUAAAUAAAGCAUUUCAAGAAGCAAUAAA